GUGGGUAGUUUGACUGGGGCGGUCUCCUCCUAAAGAGUAACGGAGGAGCACGAAGGUUGGCUAAGCAUGGUCGGACAUCAUGCGGUUAGUGCAAAGGCAUAAGCCAGCUUGACUGCGAGAGUGACGGCUCGAGCAGGUACGAAAGUAGGUCUUAGUGAUCCGGUGGUUCUGAAUGGAAGGGCCAUCGCUCAACGGAUAAAAGGUACUCCGGGGAUAACAGGCUGAUACCGCCCAAGAGUUCAUAUCGACGGCGGUGUUUGGCACCUCGAUGUCGGCUCAUCACAUCCUGGGGCUGAAGUAGGUCCCAAGGGUAUGGCUGUUCGCCAUUUAAAGUGGUACGCGAGCUGGGUUUAGAACGUCGUGAGACAGUUCGGUCCCUAUCUGCCGUGGGCGUUGGAAGAUUGAGAGGGGUUGCUCCUAGUACGAGAGGACCGGAGUGAACGCACCACUGGUGUUCGGGUUGUCAUGCCAAUGGCAUUGCCCGGUAGCUAAGUGCGGAAGAGAUAACCGCUGAAAGCAUCUAAGCGGGAAACUUGCCUCGAGAUG
rnacentral:rRNA from 1 species